rnacentral:rRNA from 1 species
GAUGAACGCUGGCGGCGUGCCUAAUACAUGCAAGUCGAGCGAACAGAUGAGGAGCUUGCUCCUCUGACGUUAGCGGCGGACGGGUGAGUAACACGUGGAUAACCUACCUAUAAGACUGGGAUAACUUCGGGAAACCGGAGCUAAUACCGGAUAAUAUAUUGAACCGCAUGGUUCAAUAGUGAAAGACGGUUUUGCUGUCACUUAUAGAUGGAUCCGCGCCGUAUUAGCUAGUUGGUAAGGUAACGGCUUACCAAGGCAACGACGCGUAGCCGACCUGAGAGGGUGAUCGGCCACACUGGAACUGAGACACGGUCCAGACUCCUACGGGAGGCAGCAGUAGGGAAUCUUCCGCAAUGGGCGAAAGCCUGACGGAGCAACGCCGCGUGAGUGAUGAAGGUCUUCGGAUCGUAAAACUCUGUUAUUAGGGAAGAACAAAUGUGUAAGUAACUAUGCACGUCUUGACGGUACCUAAUCAGAAAGCCACGGCUAACUACGUG